CUCAAUGACUUGCAACAACGCCCUUGUCCUCAAGGGAAAACUGUGGAAACCUCAAUGCAAGAUUCUCUGCAAGCUCCCAUGCAGCUUCUGCACGAGACAAACCUUUCCAUAGAACCAGCACAUGGGUAGCAGCUUGGUUGAAACGCUUAACAAUCCUUCGAUCCAACACUGCCUGGGGUAGAAGCAAAGGCUCCUUCGGCAUCACAGGUAAAUCAUCUUGUACCUUCCUGUUUCCCACAUGUUUUUUAAGUCGAGACACAUGGAAAACUGGAUGGAUUGAGGUAGAAGAUGGUAAAUCCAGCUUGAAUGCCAGUCCCAAAUUAUUCAAUCACCUUGUAGGGACCAAAGUAUUUGGCUGCUAAUUUGUGGGAGGGCCUUUGAACCAAGGAAUUAUGCCUGUCGGGCUGCAAUUUGAGGCAUACCCAAUCUCCCGCAUUGAAUGUACGUUCACUCCUCUUCUUGUUAGCUAACUGAGUCAUUCGGUGCUGAGCCGUCUGUAGGUUCUUCUUGAGUGCCCUGAGCAUGUCUUCUAUGUUUGUUAAAUACUCAUCCACAGUAGCUAUGUUAGAGUCCCAGGGAAAAUAUGGAGAAUGAAAAGGGGGUGCUUGGCCAUAUAAAGUUUCACAAGGAGUAGUCCUUAUAGACGUACCACCACUCAGCUAAGGAAGCCACUUAGAACACUGGUUCGGUGAGUCUCCUAUCAUACAUUUUAGGUAACUCUCCAAGCACUUGUUAACAAUUUCUGUUUUCUCGUUAGUUUGUGGAUGAUAGGCAAUGGAAGAAUGCAAUUGUACGCCUGGAUAAGAAAAGAAAUGUUUCCAUAACUAACUAAGGAACACUGCAUCCCUGUCACUCACAAUGGUGGCUGGAAGGCCAUGCAAUUUGUAGACAUUCUCCAUGAAUGUUAUCAUUGUUGUAUAAGGAUGGUUGAGGGACAUGAAAUGUCUAUAUUUGCUGAGUUUAUCCACCACCACAAAUAUAACUUCCUUCCCAUAAGAUUUAGGAAUCCUUCUAUAAAAUCCAUACUAGCAUCUGUAAAUGGAAACUGAGGUAUGAGUAAUGGUUGUAGUUUAACACAUGUUGUCUUAUUCUUUUGGCAGAUAGAACGCUCCUUUACAUAUUGCUUGGCCUGUUUCUGUAGUCUCUUCCAAUAAAAAAGAUUGCCUACCCUUUUAGCUGUCAUUGUUGAUCCAAAAUGUCUUCUCAUGGCAGUGUCGUGGUACAUGGAAAUCAAUUGUAGUUUAAGCUCCUCCACAUUACCCACUACUAUCUUUCCCUUUCUAUUUAAAUGAUAAUUCACCCAUUUAUAAUGAGGGUGAGAAUUAGGAUUAUCUUGUAGAUCUUUUAUAAUGCCUUGCACCACACUAACCUGCUCCCAUGAUUUCCUAACCUCAUUCAUAAUGGUAGUAGAAGCUGUAGACAUUACCAUAGUAAAAACUCCACAACUGGAACUCCUAGAAAGUCCAUCAGCUACUACAUUCUCCCUGCCCUUUUUAUAUUCAAUAUCAUAGUCAAAUCCUAGAAGUUUUGUCAUCCAUAAGUGUUGGGAAGGAUAAGACAACCUCUGCUCUAGGAUGUAUCUGAGAGUGACUUGAUCAGUAUGGAUGGUAAAAUGUAUGCCUUAUAAGUAGUGUUUCCACUUAGAUACAUCAUGUAGAAUAGCUAGCAUCUCAUUUUCAUAGGUAGAUAGAGCUUGUUGUCUUGAACCCAAACAUUUACUAAUAAAAGCUAUAGGAUUACCACCUUGCAUCAACACUGCCCAUAUACCAUUCCUAGAUGCAUCAAUUUCAAUUAUGAAAGGUUUUGUCAAAUCUAGUAGUGCCACCAUAGGGGGUUGAGUCAUAACCUCUUUCAGUAUUGAGGAAGUUACGAGUCCUUCCAGAAUCAACCAUAAUAAAAAGAAAAUGCUUGUUAACCUUACCAGUCACUUUAAGGGUAUGAAACCCGUUAGUACCUUCUAAAGCAUUUAUAGAUAUACGAGGGGUACUUGUUCCCAAGUUCUGAUCUUAUACCUCAGUUUCCACUUCUCCAGUGUCUUCUCCAUCAUCAUUAAUGAUACAAAGAGAAUAAAGCCUUUUGUUCCUGCACUUAUGCCCUGGCAUAAAUUUAUCAUCACACCAAAAACAUAGGCCCUAUGCCCUCCUCUAUUCAAACUCUUUACUCCUCAAUGGUUUGGUGGUUUUGAUGGGGUUUCUGUUAAUCAAGUUUGGAGGGGGCGUAGAUAGUAUGCUAUCUUGGGAAAUUUUGGUAUUGUUUAGUUUUUGUGUAGAGGAAUUUUUUAGAUGAGCAGGGAAGGAGUUGAGUCUGGUGUGGGAAGAGUAGGAGAUAGUUUGAGAAGGGUAUUUGGUAGGGCUUCGAUGGUUUCAUCUGUAGGAUAAGGUGUUAUCCUGUAAAUGAUCUAGGUGGUAUGCUUCUUUUAAGGUUUUAGGUCCAAACAUCUUCAUCAAGUUUUUUAUUUCAACCUCCAGACCACCUACAAAAAAAUACCAAUGCUUGUUUAUCUGAAAUGUCAGCUCUAUUCCAUAGAACAUCAAAGUCCUGAAUGUAAGUCUCCAGAUUCCCAACCUGUCUAAGCUCCAUAAGCUCUUUUAAUGGAUCCUUUUGGCCCCCAAACCUAGCACAUAGGCCUUCUAAAUAAUCCCCCCAGGUAACCCUUUCAUUUCCCACACCUUUCAUGAAAUUUUGGUGCCAGUACAAGGCAACCCCAUUCAAGUAAUAAGAAGCCAAUUUCAGUUCAGUUUGUCUGACUCUACUUAAUCUAUUUCAAAGCAUUGGUUACAUUUGUAUAGCCAUUUAUGGACGUCCUCUCCCUAAAAAAAGUAGGAAAGUCACGUUUAGGCUUAUGUACCUUGUGGUAAGUAGGUUCUCCUUCACAGGGAAGAUUGAUUUGAGUAGUUGUAGCAUACUAGCAUUAGCCUGCAGUGUGUGUUUCUCCUUGGUGGCACUAGACUCCCCAGUCUCUUGUUGUAAGGCCUGAAGAAUAGAUGUUUAUUGGUAUGUCAACCUACAGAUGAGGUCCUUUAAUUCACCAAGUUUGAUUUCAUGGUUAUACCUUGUAUUUUUCAAUUUCUGUUCAUUAGAGUCCGGUAGCUUCAUCACCUGGCCAUGAUUAUGUGCUUGUUCCUUAAACCUAUAUAAAUUAAUAGUUUUAGGGAUCAUGAAAUUUUCUUAAUUAAUCAAGAUAUUAUUUAAACUUUAAAUUUAAGUUAGGACAAACAAAAAUAUUAUUUAAUAGAAGUUAUUAGUUUAUCAAGAUUAUACUAUAUAUGUUAUAUAUAUAUAUAUAUAUAUAUAUAUAUAUAUAUAUAUCUUUGGUAAAUGAUGAUGUUCGCAAAAGAAACCAUAAAAAAUAAAACCUUCUAAUGAUAUUGUUCGCAAAAGAAACCAUAAAAAAUAAAACCUUCUAAUGAUAUUAAUAUACACAAUGUAAUGGAAAUUAUAUAUAAGGAAACUACUAAAUGAAAUAAAUAAAAUAGAAAUAAUAACAAACAAAGAGAAAACUCCAUCAUUUUAUUCAUGUUGGUCUUACAUCUAGAUUGGACUUGAAUCAACUAAGUGUCUGUUUGUUUACAUGGUUGCGGCAGCGUUUAAAGCAAACCACAGAUUUAGGCUGUUUGGUAAUGAUAAAACACAAUUUAUUAUUCACGUGGGACCCAUGUAAAUUAGAAGGAGAUCGCUUGAUGACGUAGCAUUUAUAAAAUUUGAUCGCAAUUCUAAUUUUGUUCCUGAUGAUAUUUUAUCCGAUGUUGUUGUGCGCUUAAGAAACCAAGAAAACUAUAAUCCUUGUCGGAUGGAUUUCGUACGUGAUGAAAUUGUAGAUAGUUUAAUGGAAUAAUAAAAAAUAUUUGAUAUAAGUAUUAUUUAUUUCAUGAUAUAAUAGCAGUAGUUAAAUUUACAAUAUUUAAAUUAUAAACCAUCAAUAUAUAUAUAUAUAUAUAUAUAUAUAUAUAUAUAUAUAUAUAUAUUAAUUAUUUUAUAACCUCAAUUUGAAAAGCAUUCUUUUAACCAAACACAUUAAACUAUUUUUUGUUCAACCUCAAUUUCAACCACAGUUUUAACCAAACAUAUAUAAAUACCAAAUCAUCCUCGACUAAAAGUAUUUUUUGUAAAAUAAUUUUUUUUAAACCACAAUCAUAAAACCUACCACAAUACCAAACACACUAACUCGGACGAAUUCAAUAUAAGCAAUCAUUGAACAAUGUAAAAUCAUAAAUAAAUUAAACAUGCAAAGAUGAUAUAUCAAGUAGACACAACCAUGUAAAAAUUAAAAUCAAAUCAAAUAGCUUUCACAUGUCCUUACCAUGUAUAAAUAUAUUUGCUUUUUUUAUAUAUAUAAUUUCACACACACAAAUAUAUACAUGACUAGCCUAUGUGUCUAUUAAGGUUAAUGGACGAAAACAAGGUUGUUAAAAUCACGAGUUAACUCGUAAAAUUAUAUUCAACAUAUAUUUAUUGUGUAAAAUCACGUAAAAAUCAAAAAAUGAUAAAAUCUAAUUGAAAUCUAAUUGAAAUCAUGUGAAAUUAUGUAAGAUCAUGAUUUUACUUUUGAUUUUAUAAAUUUUCAAUUAUUAUCUUUCUCAUUACAUACUCUUAUGUUUAUUCAUUAAUGCAUGAGCCCUAUAAGCGCUUAUAUUCAUAGAUUCUUUUUUCAAUCAAUAGUGUAAGGAUGAAGAAAACAUAGUCUUGCUUAAAUCCUUCUUAACAAAUAAACAAUUAUCUAUUACGAGACAGAACUUUGAAAAUUCUUAUUCUAUAAGGAUAUUUUUAUGAACAAGAGUGACAAACCAUAUUCUAAAGUCUGAUAUACUAUGUGUUUAUAUCUAAAUAUCAUAGUCUUUUAAACAAGUUUAUAACAUUAUGAUUUCUCUAUAAAAAAUCUUAUAAUUUGUCUAAAACAUGAUCUAACAAGGAACCAGACUUCAAGAUUAAAGAAAAAGGUCUUACUUUGAAUUGUUUGAUUCAUUCGUUUUAGUUCAUACAAAGACUACAAUUUCUUAUUGACCCACUUGUUGAUAUUCAAUUCCUUUUUGAUUCACAUGUUGAGAUUCAUAGUGUGUAACAAACAAUAUCUUAAACUUAUAAAAAUAUAACAAUAUUUAAAAGAAAGCAUAACAAUAUCUAAAAGUAAUGUAUUAUUUAUCAAGGCAAAAGAAAUCACAUAAGUCAAAACAUUAUAGAUGAUCAUGCAUUUGGAGAGAGCAUUGGAACUGGUAUUAGCCAACAAGGAAGCAUAGUUGUGAAGACUUAGCUGUUUUCAAUGUUUUUUCUUAAACGUAAAAUCUUACUAACCACUUCCAACUUUUUUCCUUGAAUCUUGCAUGGUAGGAUUUUAUCAUGCAAAAACAAGUGCAUUAUAUCUUUAUUUAUAGAAUUGCUUAUUGUUUGUAUGACCAGCGUAUGGAAAAAAAAAUACUUAUGAUUUUACAAUUUAUUUUUCCUAUUCAAAUUUAUAUUGUAUUUUUUAUAUCAUGUAAAAAAAAACAUUUAUUACAACCUUGGACGGAAUUCUAACCAAGGGUUUAUAUUGUCUUGAUGUGAAAACACGAAAAUAAAAAAAAAUGAAAAAAAUCAGGAGUUUAGUUGGAUUGGAUUGAAAACUCAGAAUAGCUUUCGACCAAAUAGUAGGGGUGAUCAUUUUCGGUUCGGUUCAGUUUUUUUUUUUAAAAAAAGUAACCAAACCGAAAUUUAAAAAAAAAAAACCGAAACCGGUUCAAACCGACCGAUUUCGAUUCGGUUCGGUUUUUUUAGAACAAAAACCAGUUCAAACCGGUUUGGCUCGGUUUUUUCCGGUUUGGCUCGGGUUUUUCGGUUUGGCUCGGUUUUGGCUUGGUUUUUCGGUUUGGCUCGGUUUUGGCUUGGUUUUUCCGGUUUGGCUCGGUUUUGUUCCGGCUUUUUUUUAGUUUGGAUUCGAUUCGGUUUGGUUUUUUCGGUUUCAGGCUUAAAAACCGAACCGAACCGGUCGGUUUUUUCAAAAUUUUAAUCGGUUUAAUCGGUUUUUUUUCACGGUUCGGUUUUUUUAGUUAUUUUUUUCUGGUUUUCUCAAUUUAAUCAGUUUUUUAGUUUUUUUCUCACCUCUACCAAAUAGUUUAUUGCAUGUAAUUGAGGCGAUUGAAUAUUGUGUAGUUGGGAUUCUAGUUUAGGAUCAUCAUGGCAUCGUAUUACGGAAAGACAGUAGAAAAUGCACACAGCUGCCAACUAGUCAGAAAACCAAAUCUAAACCUAGCAGCCAGGAGAGGAGACAAAGCCUCACAAAGUGGUACAAAAACAGAAAACAAAAUGAGUAUGAAGGUUUUCUGUGUGCUUGCAUAUGACAUAUUAUCAAUGGGGGAAAGAGAAGACCCAAGAUUACAAGAGGUUUUGUUGAAAAAAAUAAAAACCUAUCUCUAUCCUCUCUUCUAUUCAAAAUAUUUUUCUUCCAAGAGCAAGAUAACCCCCUUGCAGGUUCUUUUCUAUCAAUCGGGGCCCUCUCCUCACCACCUUCAUGGGAAUGGUCUGCAUGAUUCAUAACUACUGCUCUUGUUCACAAAAAGCAGCAUCUACACUAUAUUUUUCAAUAUUGUCUAUCCAUUUCAUAUGGACAAAGUUUUCCAACUUCCAUGUCCUCAACUCCAAAUCACAUCUCAUUUUGCUAGCACUUCUCAGGGAGUCUAAAGAAUAAAAUUACUAGUAGGAUCCCGAUGGAAUCUCACUGAACCCACUUCACGUUCUUGCUAGAGAAUUGAGGUGGUUCUUGAUCUGCUGCGUAUCUUUGAUACAAAAUGGUGCAUAUUUUCCCAAUGACUUGUGAAGAGUAUUUGACAGGAUCUACGUUGUCUCAGGUUGUUCAAGUGUUGAAGAAUUUCUUUAUCUGGGACUAUCUGUAGCGUCUGAAUUUGGAGGGGUCACCCAAGAGUGCUUCAUGAGAGGUUGUUUGCUGAUUUACCACUGAAUUACAUGUAAGCGAUACUUCCGUGAUGCAACUGUCUGC
rnacentral:lncRNA from 1 species